AACCCACUGAGCAAACACUGAAAAUAAAACCCGUACAUAAUUGAGUCAUUCAGUACGGGGGGGGGGGAUGCUCCACGGUAGGCUACUGCAAAUGUGAUCCCAGAGCGUGGAACAAGUUGUGUAGCACUCGCUGCUGCUAAAAGCCCGCAUAUAGAAAACCAUGCUAUGAACCAGAUCCCUCCUGUAUCAGCCCAUCCAUCUGCUGCAAGUCCUUCUCCCCAGAGCCCAGUGGGAGGUAACGCCGCGCUGUUCCUAGGCUGUGACGGGUGGAGACCGACUGUAACGUCACCAAUCACCAACUGACUCUUUGUGCCUACCCACGUCUCCCUCAGAGAAAAGGCCUCAACCCUGCAAACUUGUUUGCUGGUGGUUUUAUGCCACAGAGCCCACAGAAUCCUACAGUGUCACUUUAACCCAAGUGUUUUUGUUCUGCUGAACCCUGAACUUAUUUCCUCUGCAUCAACCCAAGGGCCUCCGCCCAGCACUGAAGCAAAUAGAAAGUCUCAAACUAGAUGUGACUGAGAUGUCGUAGCCUUGCGGACAUGGAAGAUGAAUUUACACACAGGAGUCUUUUUUUUUACUUUGAGAGCAUUGGGGAAUAAAUUAAGGCCUCUAAUCCUUUAUCCUUGUAUACUUACCGCUAAAACAAGGAAUGCUGUCAUGUAUGUUUGCAUAAAGACUGGAAACAUUGUAAAUGUAAAAACCGCUACACUAUGCCCUCGAUACAAUACACCCUUCUUCGAAAACUGCCUUGUCAAAAUCACUUUUGGGGUUUUUGGAGCUCAUUGCGGUGCAAAUGGUAGAUGUUUUAAUACAUACUUUCAGUAAGAAUAAAUCAAUUCUGUACCUUUUUUUUUUUAAUCUACAAACAGGCGGGGAGAAUUACUACAUACUUCAUGUCCGGGUUCCUUUCAGCUGUCUCCAAGAUCUUCAACCUAAACAUGCUUAUUGCCGCCAACAGACAGAAAGGACUGUGACACAUGCUUUUGUCUCAACCCACGUCCACCACUCCUACCAGCUUCCCCCUCUGCCUCCCUUGCAUUCACAUCUACUAUCAUGAAUGCUUGCAGAACAAACACUCCACCAAUUAGCGCUAUCAGCCUGCGGCGCCUUCGGUGAACCUCUUUGUUUGCAAAGAAAAAAAAGAAUAUUGGCUUCAACGACGUGACAAGAAAAGGGCCUGUCGUAAUGGAGCCGCUGCUUGCUGCAAAACACCCCAGACCAGAACAUGGGUGGGAUGGCCGAUAGUCCGGGAGAGAUUCCAGUGAUGAGGCCCACAUCGUUCCCAGAGCUACGACGGGAGCAUUUUAGGCCGUGAGAGCUACGCGCUCCGGCUGGUGCGUUUCGUUUGUUAGAUCGCCCGCUACGGUUUGGUCCAGCUACGUCGCUGCGGAGUGUUUGCUCCGACGGCAACUUAAUGCAGCUUCAUGAAGUAGAUCUUCUCAAACGUUAUCCUUUCGUCCUGCAUGCCUCUCUCAGUCCACCACACACACACACACACACACACACACACACCUUUCAGACGAAUAAAGAUUUAAUGCAAGUUAUCCACAAACUGAGUUGUGUAAAUCAAGAAGCUGGGGUUACGUAAGAAAGGGGUUUAGCCAACUACAAACAGCAAUGCGGAGGCCUGUAUGCUUCUCAGCUAAUGUAAUUAAUUGGAUUGUGCUGAUUAACAUACACAUUUAAUGUAUAUGCACUGUCAUUACUGACAAAUUCUUGGAAUGCCACUAAAGAAGAAUUCAAAACUUCCUCCCACUAAAGACGUAUCAUUACAUGGCAAUGAAACGGGGGUUCAAAUAUCCCUAAUAAACAGGUAUCAUUUAACAUUGGGGUUGUCUCAAGUUUGGUGAGGAAAGCAAGUGUUUGGAAAAUAAGCUAAAAUGUUUCCCAACAGUAAAUCAAAGAGUCCCACAAUUUGAUUUGUCCGUCAAUAUUGAAAUGCAACACGUCAAUUUGCUAUUAUUUUUUUUCAUUUUGCAUGUACACUGAAUGUAAACAUCAGGCUUUUUUUUUAUUUGUAUACACUUGCCUCCACUAGAGCACAAUGUUGAUCGAUGACUCCUGAGACUAAACUCGCAUUGCUGACUUGCAGCGUGGCCGUAGUUUGAGUUGUCAAUGACUGGCUGGUGUAUCUGCAUUGGGUCGGUUGGUCUAUUUAUCACAAUUUGAAUUCCCACAACAGAAAGAAACAGGUUAAGCAUAAUAAAUGUGUGGGCAUUAACCAAGAUAGAGCACAUUCAUUGUGUAAAAACAUGCACGAGGCACAUGUUGAAGGUAGCCGCAGCAGCAGCGUCGCUGUGAUAGUCAGUUGAGGGGGGGGCUGGCUUUCCAAUGGAUUGCAUCAAUUCUUUGUUCUAUGCCGUUAAACUACCACAGUGUCGGCCCACCCAUCGGCAAGUAAACAAUCUUCUGGCAUUUUGAGGUAAUCAUAAUACUGUUAGUACCAAAACAAUCUGGUGUGAAUCUGAGCAGCAGUUACAGCAGCGAGAGCAGAUGACCAUUAGCAGUUGUCAGGUCUAAUGCAGACGAGAUCACAGCAAUGUCUCAACACAAAUAUUGCCAUGUGGCAUCCUGUCCUCUUCUGCUUCGAGCUCUCCAGCACCUUCGAAUGUAAUACAGAAAACCAGCUUCGGAAAAAAAAAGGGGGGGGGGGGAGGGGGAGGCCGAAUGUGAUAAAAUAUGAAGAGUCUGAUGCCUUUUCCUCGCCGUUGUCUUAGUCUCAUUGCCACCCUGCUGUCGCCAAGUCUUCAGCCCUCUGCGCCCACACAGGGGUUUUCCUCACUGCAGGUGUUGGGAAUAUUUCCAAAUAUACCAAUCAGAAGUUCCCCAAAACAUACCUGCAUGGAUGGAAUCAAAGUAAGUGCUCAAACAAGGGUCUUUCUGUCAUACUUGUUGGUGAAGUUUGUGUUUGUGUCCCGUCUUACGUCUGAUUUUGAUACUUCCUGUUUUAUUGUGCCGUCUAAACCCCCUCUUGUUUCAGGUGCCUUGCCCUUCCUCAGGUGUCUCCUGUCAAUUGUCUCCCCUGAUUCCUAAUUGUCUCCACCUGUUCCCUCACCUCCCUCAUGGAUACUUAUUGUCUGCGUCUCCCUUUGUCCUGUGCCAGUGUGUCUUGUAGUCAUGCAUGUCCACACCUGCGUUAGUGUUAGCUUGUGAAAGGAUCUUUGUAUUUGGUAUUAUUAGAUAUAGGAAUUAUUGGAAUAAAUCUCUAGCAGUCAAACCUCUCUGCGUCCUUGUCCUCCUCCCCGGCUCCGGCCUGACUGACACUUUCCUUCCAACACGCGCCCGG
ensembl:lncRNA